rnacentral:rRNA from 1 species
UACGGGAGGCAGCGAGUGGGGAAUAUUGCACAAUGGGCGAAAGCCUGAUGCAGCUAUGCCGCGUGUAUGAAGAAGGCCUUAGGGUUGUAAAGUACUUUCAUCGGGGAGGAAAAAACAAAACUAAUAAUUUUAUUUCUUGACGUUACCCGAAAAAGAAGCACCGGCUAACUCCGUGCCAGCAGCCGCGGUAAUACGGAGGGUGCUAGCGUUAAUCAGAAUUACUGGGCGUAAAGAGCACGUAGGUGGUUUUUUUAAAGUCAGAUGUGAAAUCCCUGGGCUUAACCUAGGAACUGCAUUUUGAAACUGAAAUACUAGAGUAUCGUAGAGGGAGGUAGAAUUCUAGGUGUAGCGGUGAAAUGCGUAGAUAUCUGGAGGAAUACCUGUGGCGAAAGCGGCCUCCUAAACGAAUACUGACACUGAGGUGCGAAAGCGUGGGGAGCAAACGAGGAUUAGAUACC